UGUAAGAUCUGCUCUAACCAGGCGU
rnacentral:piRNA from 1 species